GUCGAGGAGGAAUGAAAAUUAACAAAUAAAUGUGCCCACCAAGAAGGUUGAAUCAUCCAAAUAACUAAAUUUAAAAUAAAAUACAGAUAAAAUACAAAUACAAAGCAAUAAGAAAAAUAAUGAAAUAAAAUAAACGUAAAGUAGAAUAGGCCAUAGAAAAGUCAAAUUCAGAGAUGAGAUGACGGAUGACAAAUUAUUUACAGAAACAUAACCCUAAAGUGUCAGAGCCACCAAGUGUCAAACCAGUAUGCAAGGACUUGUUAAAAGAAGCAAAUUAGCAGUUAAGAGAGCUGAAUUGCAACUGAAAAUGAAAAAGGGAAGAAAAGAAGGGAAACAGGGAACAGCACACCGUCACAUCAUCAGAAAG